CCUUAACCUUGGAAAUUCUGGCAGGAUGCUGUGGUCGCUUUGUCUCAUUGGAGCAGCACUAUGGAGCAGGAUGACGUAAUGGGAAUAUCAGGGACCUUGUUGUCUUCCUCGCUUUAACAGCAUUACGGCUCUUCCACAGCAUCUGGCGGGUCACAUUAAAGGUGAUGUUUCUCCGUAUCAUGAUGAAGAAUCAGGAUUUCCCUUGAGACUAAAAGUCAAGAAAAAUUAUGCUUCUCAAAAAACAAACGGACAUGGACCUGAAGGGCAUCAUGCUAAGUGAAAUUACGUCAGACAGAAAGACAAAUACCAUACAAUCUCAUUUAUAUGUGGAAUAUUAAAAAACUAACAAAAGCAAAAAAAAA